rnacentral:rRNA from 1 species
UACGAGGGGGGCGAGCGUUGUUCGGAAUUAUUGGGCGUAAAGGGCGCGUAGGCGGUGCGGUAAGUCACCUGUGAAAUCUCCUGGCUCAACUGGGAGCUUGCAGGCGAAACUGCCGUGCUGGAGUGUGGGAGAGGUGCGUGGAAUUCCUGGUGUAGCGGUGAAAUGCGUAGAUAUCAGGAGGAACACCUGUGGCGAAAGCGGCGCACUGGACCACAACUGACGCUGAGGCGCGAAGGCGUGGGGAGCGAACGGG